rnacentral:rRNA from 1 species
CUGUCUGAAUAUGGGGGGACCAUCCUCCAAGGCUAAAUACUCCUGACUGACCGAUAGUGAACCAGUACCGUGAGGGAAAGGCGAAAAGAACCCCGGCGAGGGGAGUGAAAAAGAACCUGAAACCGUGUACGUACAAGCAGUGGGAGCACCCUUCGGGGUGUGACUGCGUACCUUUUGUAUAAUGGGUCAGCGACUUAUAUUCUGUAGCAAGGUUAACCGUAUAGGGGAGCCGUAGGGAAACCGAGUCUUAACCGGGCGUUAAGUUGCAGGGUAUAGACCCGAAACCCGGUGAUCUAGCCAUGGGCAGGUUGAAGGUUGGGUAACACUAACUGGAGGACCGAACCGACUAAUGUUGAAAAAUUAGCGGAUGACCUGUGGCUGGGGGUGAAAGGCCAAUCAAAC